rnacentral:other from 1 species
CCUUGUCGCUUCACGUACUCUCUUUAUGAGAGUGAAUUCUCGUUUUUUUUCAUCAAGGAUUUUUCAUGGAAACCGGUACCGUUAAGUGGUUCAACGACAGCAAGGGCUUUGGCUUCAUCACCCCGGACAAGGGUGGCGACGACCUGUUCGCUCACUUCUCCGAGAUCAAGACCGACGGCUUCAAGACGCUCGCUGAAAACCAGAAGGUGAGCUUCGAAACCAAGCAAGGCCCGAAGGGUCUGCAAGCGGCUAACAUCAAGCCGCUGUAAAGUUUGAAGGACCCGGCCUCCGACAACGGAGGCCGGGUUGC